rnacentral:rRNA from 1 species
AUUCCAGCUCCAAUAGCGUAUAUUAAAGUUGUUGCAGUUAAAACGCUCGUAGUCGGAUUUCGGGGCGGCUUCGUCGGUCUGCCGAUGGGUAUGCACUGACGCGGGCGUCCUUCCUUCCGGAGACGCGUCCUACUCUUAGCUGAGCGGGGCGUGGAGACGGAUCGUUUACUUUGAAAAAAUCAGAGUGUUUCAAGCAGGCAUCAUCGCUCUUGCAUGGAUUAGCAUGGGAUAAUGAAAUAGGACCUUGGUGCUAUUUUGUUGGUUUCGAGCACCGAAGUAAUGAUUAAUAGGGAUAGUUGGGGGUAUUCGUAUUCAAUUGUCAGAGGUGAAAUUCUCAGACCAGCGGAAGACGAACCACUGCGAAAGCAUUUGCCAGGGAUGUCUUCAUCA